CGAGAAGCAGCGACAUGUGACUCUGAUAAGGUAAAAAUGAUUCCUCCAGCACACAGUGACCUAUCCCAGCAUGCACAGCGACACGGAGGAGUUUGUAUAAUAAAUCCUAAAACCAGGAUAGAGGGGUUCAGUGAAUGAGGAGGUGAAUCUGUACAGGAGGGUCAGUCCAUCAGAGGAGACUCUGUAGAAGGACAGAGCACCAGCCCCCCAGUCCAGAUACACUCCUACUCUGCGGGAGCCUGAGGGCUCUAUGGGUAUG